UAAAGGAGACAUAACAUGAAAAACCCACUUUUUUAUCCAUUAACACGGUGUGUUUCACAUUUUAAGUGUCUAAGUGAGCAAAAAGGCUUAUAUUAUUCACUGGAGUUGCUAUUUAGAUAUUUAAUAAUUAAGUUUUGGGCAUAUUUGUCCACCCGUUCAGUUUUUACAUUAUCUAUUACAUCAGUAAUUAAUUUAGUGAGGAUAACUACCAAAUAUGGUAAUGGCCCUCGGCUAAACACAGAGCCAAUCCGCCAUUUUUUCUUCUCGCUAAGAUUUUUUGUAGUCCUAUUGGAAAAAUGCAGAAUGUCUGGUUAUUUUAGCCACACACAGCUCAAAACUGUUCCUCGUUUUAAGGAAGGGUGGUGUGGCAGUAUUUAAACCCAGGAGCUGAUGACACUACUGCUAAAAAAAACACAGAAGAAAAAGUAGUGUGUUUGCGUUUGUUUGUGUGUGUGUGUGUGUGUGCGUGCGCGCGCGCGCGCGUGGUUCGUUCUGUCUCCAGGCUAGUGGCUAAGUACUGAGGGCUUCAUCUAUCUAAAAGGAGUUAUUUCCAUCUGAAUUUGGCAGCACCGGGACACAGCAGCAGAGCGAGUCCACAUCCAGAAGACUGGAGCCGUGUUUCACUGACAGGCUGUCAGACUAACGCCCUGAUGAGCUCAGCUGGGACAAACUGGUCUGAUGUUUAGGAACACAGAACGUUCAGAUGUUGGCGUUUCACGUCACCUACUGAGGAAGGAGACCCACCAGUAAAGAGACGGUCUGGACCAGACCAAAAAUAUGGCGAUGACAUCAUGGAACUGGUCUUUGGAAAAGUUUUCCCUGAACCAACUCCGUUUCUAGAUGAGGUAGAGAAGAUCUGCAUCUCACCAACUCUCUGGUCUCAGUAUUCAGACAACGGAGGUCUCCCACUGUUGUCCAGGACCAGUUUGAAGCCCACAUACUGCCCCUCCCUCAUCAUCAGGAAACAUCAAUCCGUAUCCUGAGGACAACAGAAGACGGCAGGAGGACAGGAACUCUGAGACCUAGACACCACCAGCACCGAGACACAAAGCACCUGUGUGCACAACGCCUGUUUUAACUACUAAAGCCUGUUUAUUAUAUUGUUCUACUUAUUUGCUGUGAGGUUAAUACUUAGAAAAUUUGUAUAUUAAUGUAAACAAUAAAAAAAAUCACUGAUUGUAUGCUUUCUUUUAGAUGUAAUGGUCCAAACUCAGCCUUGUAGACAUUUAUUGCAUCCUGUAGGUAAAUACACAGAACAGGCUCAGGUCCAGGAUGACCCAGCAUGCUCUUCUUCCAUUCUGGCUGUUAGGGAUUGUAUCAAUAACUCAAUGCCUACUGAUGUUUUCACCUAACGGUAUUUAUUUAGAAUGCAGGUAAGAUUUAACUAUAUUUGUUAGCAAAGCAGACUGAUCUUGGGAAUUUCACUGCAGCACUGAUGUCCACCUCUCUGUACACAUUAGAGAGAAUUACCACUUUACAGCUAAACACAUUUAAUAAAGAUAUAGGCUACGCAUUGCAGACAAUAAAAACAAAGUUGUAAGCAUUAGAAUUAUAAUGAUGACAUUAAAGAACACUUGGAGGAAUGUUCUUUAUUUUUGACUAGAAUCUCAAAUCUUUAAAUUAAAAUGUAACUGCUUUUUAUCCAUUUUCAGCCAUUAAGACACCCAAUAUAAAAUAAGACUACUUAUAAAAUUAUUUAUAAUUAUAUGUAUGUAUAUAGAUAGAGAUCUUAAUAAAAUAUAUUCUUUGAA